CGGCCAUCACCAGGAAAAUGGAGGGUUUCUCAUGGCUUCUUUCAGCCAUCCCACAGUUGGAGUGGCCACCAUCAAUGGAGCUGCCCAUGACUGGCUUCAAGACCCUCCUCCAGUAGAUACAGACAGCAGAGGAACUAGAAGAGAAGAGGUGGGACAGAGCUGAGCCUCUCCUCCCUGCCCCCAAGGAAUGAAAUGAGCAGGAGGAGAUGUUACUGCUGUCAGAUGUCUUGCUCCGAAUCUCUCUCAGGAAAGUUCAAGGACCGUAUUGGGAUCCAGAGUGGUGAUGCACUGAACUGAAUUUUCCUGCUCUACUGCACGGAGAGAGGUUCUCUACUGACACAUAAACCUUUUAUUGAUGCAAAAACUUGCAGAAUUCCCCCUGGAAAAAGGAUACCAAAACUGGGGAAAGAUACAGUAUACAUUGAAUUAGAGUCACGUUUGAAUGCAAAACCGUUUAGUUCCCCCUUCCCCCCCAGCUCUCUCUAGGAACUAUCCUAUUUAUUGCUUUGGGUUGUAUUUUUCUCUGCAGACACAGGAGAAUGCAAAUUGCAUCUCCUUGUUCCUGUGGUGGCAAGUGUGCUGAAUGGGGGAUUCCCCUAGUGCAGGUGGUAGUACUACAGGAAUGGGCAGUACUGAAGUCCAGCAGAGGUUCCUUAGGAGCCCUUCAGUGAAGGUUGCCUGAGAGAUGCUGUGAUCGGUUGUGUGUCCCAUACUGGUAAAUAAAGGGUUAAUAGGAGAAUUAGUACCUAGGUAGCCCAUCAGGCUACACCUGAGGGAGGAAAGAAGGGCAGGCCCAAUUUAGUAUUAGGGCCAGCUGAGAAGGAGGAUGGGGCACUAUACAGGCAGAUCUGAAGUGAACUAGCAGAAGAGACUCUGGAGGUGGGGACUGCUAGAGAGGCUGGGAGUAGCCUUGAGAACUCUCUUCAAUAGAGAGUCGGGAAGAAGCUGCACAAGAACAGUAGGCGUAGUGGUGGUUGCAGUCCCUUUGAGAGAUGCCAGUAAACGGGAAAAGGUAGGAGCAGCCCAGAGAAGUGGCAAAGGAUUGUAAGGAACAUCCCUUAGCUGCCUAACACACAGGGACCCUGGGCUGGAACCCAGAGGAAAGGAGAGGGCAGACCUGGGUUCUCAUCCCUUUCCCCCAGCCAGAGAGGAAGUGCAAGUCUCAGGACUAAGAGGCCGAGAUUGAUGAGUACUGUAUGGGACCUGAAGGCCUGUCAUAAAGGUUAUUGGACUUUGGAGUUUUUCUGUCUGGCUUUUUCCCCUGCCCUGGAAGGGGACUGAAUGUGAAAUGUGAGCUGGCCGGAGGGUUGGGACACAGAAGCUGCAGAGCCAGGACCAUAGGGACUAGAGUGAAAGAACCCCUUCAACCCCUUAUCAUGAUUUGGGGUGUGUGUGUGUGUGUGUUUCAGUGGUGAUUUUAAUGACAAAUGCUUAAUCGGUGCCUCUUCCACCUGGGUAGGUCAUGUUCCUCCUGAGCCAAUACCAUCCACUUUGGGGCUGACUAGGCUGCUUCUGGGCCCUCUCAAUGGAGUGGAAUUAGCAGGAAGCUGACAGCACUACACCACUACUUCUGGUGAACUUACCAAGGUUGCCAUAUUCCCAAGACUCCAUCAUAAAUGAGCUGCAAAACCCAGUGGUGUGUCCUGGUCAGAACUUUGCCAGUCAGGAGUGCAAGGUGACAUGAAUUGAAUGAGUGGAGAAUGUUACUUUGGAAACGGCGUCUAUUGGGCUCUUUGAAACAAUUCUGACCUGAGAGGAGGCUGAAUCAAGGGAAGGAACGAUAGUCUUUUACACAUGACAGAAAGGCGCUGCUUCAGCUGUUUGAGUGCAAAGGAGGGCUUGUAUUAAAUCGUCAAGAUUGCCAAGCCAGGUGGUUGAAUGUUAAGAGAGAUUUCGGAAAAAGCUACCAUACCCCCUCAGGAAGAACAUGACUUGGACCGGUAUGCUCCAAAACCAGAAGAGAAAUGGCAAAUGGGUUACGACAACACUUAGCGAUCACAGAGUAUAUUCCAGAUGCUUUGAGAAUUAAUAAACUAACAAGCAUGAUCUGAAAAAUAAUUAAUAACUCUCUUGCAUUUGAUUAUCAACAACACGAUAAAGGACAAGCCCCUACCUUGCUGUGGGUAUAUUCAUUUCCUACACAAGAACUCCUGUAAAAUUGCACAUAGCUAGAACAACUGUAGAUUGACCUCCUGAAAAACUCUCCUCCUCCUUAUGAAACUGUUCUUCGCAUUUAAUAAGCUUUGAGCACAUUAAAUGUAAAGUAUAAUACUUUACAAGGUAAUACAUAGCUAGAAAAAGUCAACUGAAACAUAAAACUUUCCAGUGUCAGUUUGAAACAAUUGCAAGACAUAUAAUGGGCUGCGAAGGAAAGAUGUGAUCACUGAUUAGCUGCAAGAGAUUUCACUGAGUCAGAUUAGCCAGCAAAUUGUUCUUUCCAACGGAUAUUUCUAUAGUUAGAUACAUGGGAAAAACAAGGAUAAUUGUUUGUUGUUCCCAUUUCAGUUCAAAUGUACAUGACACUGAAAUGGUAACACUUAGUUUCUCCAUUUCCAUGGAUGUAAAAUUAGAAGCAUAUUUGUUUUGGGGCAUUUUUACUCCUCAGGUAAUAUUCUUGUUUGUUUACAAAAAAGAACAUUGUUAGAAAUGGGUCAUCAUGACCAUUGCAAUUGUGUCUGAUUCACAAGCUAUUGUUAAAUUAAUCAAGUUUUUUGGUUUUUAGCCUGCCUAAAAAUUUCCAAAAAUUUUCCAUUGAGUUUCUAUGUUCCAACUGACAAUAUUUUCACACCAUUUUAUUUGUUCACAACUUUUUUUUAAAUGCUCCUCUUCGCUUAUGCAAGGCUGAGAGAUUUUGAUUUUCUCACUUUAAAACAUAAUUCACACAUUUUUCCCAUAUAGAUAAGUAACUCAGAAAUGUCUGAACUUUGAAAUUUGGCAUGAAUUCACAUAAGGCCUGAUGCUGAACUCACUCAGACUGCUUUUACACUGAUAUAAUAAUUCAUUUGACUUAAAUGGAGUUCCUGCUUUACAGUGGUGUGAGAUCAAAAUCACACUUACAAUUCGUCUCCUACCUUAAUCCUGUCUGUGUUUCACUUUAGAGUGAGAGGUUUUCAUGAUGAUUUUGUUGAGGCACAAUGGGGAUUGUUAAACAUGGAGUUUCAUUCUGAUUAAGAAGCAUUAAUUUUGUGGCCAUUAGAAGUGGAUUAUUUAGUGAGUCUGUCUCCCCCUCCCCUUCUCAUUUAUUCCAUUGAAACUCUUACCAAAUUUAAUAUGGGAUACCAUGGCUGUCAGACCACAUUAGAUACCAGAUGAGCCUAUUAUUACACAUCUACCAGUGCUGUGCUAUCUUUUAAUAUCAAAACGCUUAUGAAAUUCAUGCUGAUGUAUUAUUCUGAAUAGUUUCACCGUCUAAAUACACAUUGCAUGCAUCCUCUAAAUGAGUAUUUCUGAUAGUGCAUGGAAAUAUCAUGGCAAUACUAUCCUGAAGCCCUUUUACCAUUUUUAGGUCAUGCAUGCUUGAGUGUGCACAGUCUCCUAUUGCUGUGAAUCAGCCCUUUUUAGAGGAGGAAGUCUGGCAGGGAACAGAGGAUUGUGGGUUCUUGCUGCAGCCAUGAAAACUUAGAAUACUUCUGUGGAAACCAAAGAAUAUAUCAGCAUUAGUCUAGUCUGCAAUAGCCUUAUUCAAAUCUGGGUCCAAAGCCAAAUUUCAUAUAGUUUCAUUGCUUUUUACUUGUAAUGGAGAAAGUGCAGCUGUGACAGAUUCUGGACUCUCUAUUUUUUACUUUUGAGAACUGGCUGAAAGUUUGUUCCAGUAUCAGAGACACUGCAGGGCUCUGAAGAUGCAGUACUGGACAAACCCCAUUCUGUUGUGUAAAGCAAGUCAGUGAUUUCUUAUUCUGGCCAUACAUUCUCCUCUACUACUUAGUUCUCUGCCAUGAUUUUUUUCCUCCCACAACAUUACCAGUAUUCUAUGUAUAAGUACCAUUUAUUUUGUUUAACAGACUAUAUAUAGCUGAAAUAUUACCUUUUUACCAUUGAUUAUUUCUCAAACAAGCUCAAGCUCUUUCCUCUGCCUGGGGUGUUUUUCACCAUGCUCUUUAUGAACUAAAAGAUUCAAGAAACCCAGAGGUUUGUUCAUUUAUUAUAGAUGUUCAUGUGGUGUGCAUCUUAGUGAUGGCCUUUCUGUACAUGGCUUAGAUUGAGACAAAAAACAAUUCCUGGAAAUACGGAGCUAAUACCCUAUGAAGGCUUCCCUUAGCACCAAGGGUGAAAUCUUGGUCCUAUUGAAGUCAAUGGCAAAACUUUGACUUUAGUAACAGGGUUUCACCCAAAUAUUUUAAAAGGACAGAAGUGAGAAAGUAGAUAGUUUUGUGGACAUCUGGGUUUCAGAAAGGAUGUAAAAUUUGGUCAUCCAAGAUCUUCUUUGAGGAAACAUCCUGCAGAAUUUUGUAGAAAGUGAUAACCUUUUUAACCAUCUGAGGAAUUUAAUGGAAAAUAUAUCACCCUGUUAUAGAAUUCUAAAGGAUAUUAAGACCUUCCACCCCCAAUGAACUAUAGAAAGGAGAUAAUCCCCUAAUAAAUUAUACAGCGCCUCAGAGUAAUUUCUAUAAAAUCGCCUUUGGUUUUUAGAGUAGUUUCCACAGAAACCUAUUGGCUUCAUGCCUAUCAAUUGCUGAGACUUUUCCCUAUUGGAACAGUGUUCCUUACUCAAGGUAGUUCAUCUUUUUUUCUCCUUACACUGGCAUCUUGCUAUGCUGGUUUCUUGGUUGAUUCUCUCAAAUUAAUAGUUCUUGAAGCAUGUCUGAAUUUAUUCCUUUUGGCUCCCACUCUAUCAUAUCUCUGCCCCCCCACCCCAAACCUUGGGGAGUCUUUAUAGAGAUAAAUCCUGUAGUGUUUCUUUUCAGCAGUAACAUAGCAGGUUUCAUAAGCAGAUGACUAGACUAUACUGUAUGUUCAGUUAACUAUCCACCACAAUGAGUUUAUUGGAUUUUAUGAUCCAACUGAACCUGCAUAAGGCUAGCAUGCCAGUGCACACUUUACUGUAUCUAAGAACCUUUCUUGAAUAACCCAUCAAGGCAAGGAAGAGAUUAACUAAAAUGGGAGACUAGGCUGCUUGGUGCACCAAAUCUCUUAAAGGUAUUGAUUUAGCUAUUAUUGUGGCCUACAGGUAGUAGUUAGAGAAGUGUUGUUAGCAUGGGUUGGACUGCAGAAUAGUAGCGGUAACACUGUGCAUCGAGGGUUAAUGCAUACCAUUAUUAACACAUGGUCAAAUUUACCUCUGCUUGUGCAAGGAGAUGCCAGUGGCAUAUCUCUGAGCCACUGUGCCUCACGAGUGACUUGUUCCAGGGAAAGGGAAGGCAAUGUUGCUGCCAGUGCCUUUUCUUGGGGGUUCUGCCAAAAGGAAGCAGCUAUAAUUCCCAGUGGAGCCCCACUGGGAGAGCUGCAAUGCAGAUGCAGCUCCUGGGCAUUCUAGCCAUCCCCCACUUUCUAGACAGCAGUGGUCAAUUUUCAGACAGCAUGGGUCUCCCUGGAAUUUCUAUUAUCAGAGGGGUAGCCGUGUUACUCUGUAUCUGUAAAAGCGGCAAAGAGUCCUUUGGCACCUUAUAAACUAACAGACGUAUUGGAGCAUAAGCUUUCGUGGGUGAAUACCCACUUCUGCCACUGUAACCCCUAUGCCAGGGUCUGUGCUGGAUUUGUGUUGGUACCCAGUAAUAUUACCUAUACUUUAGUGUGUGGUCUCAUUAGAUUUUUGUCUGCUCUUUCCCCUUGAUCUAAUUUCCCAAUUUCAUAAGCUGAUCUGCACUGGCUGUACCUGGAGCAGCUGUUCCAGACAUGUACAGGCAAGGGAAGUGGUUGCAUAGCAACCUGCACCACCUGGAGGCUCUCAAGAUAGCUCCUCCCUUCUGUGUAGAUUUUUCCUUAAAAUUUUUCACAGCUUGGUGACAGAAGAAUCAGAUCCUCAGAUGAUAAAACCAUAAAUAAGCAUUAUGAUAAAACCAUAAAUAAGCGUUUUCUAUGCUUGUUUUUUUUUUUAGUGUGUGUGGGGAGAGGGAGGAGGGUGGGGGGAGCCCAGCAGUAAACUAGGGAAUGGUGGAAGAGUUUGCUUUGUACAUAAACAACAUUGGCUGAAUCUGCAUGUUUUCCACUGCAGUAUUAUGUAUGCUUCUUUUAUAAACCCAAACAACCAGUCUCUCUGCAAUGAAAUAUGGGUAUCGAGGGCCAGAUUUUUAAACAUAUUUAGGUACCUAACUCCCAGUGAAAUCAAUGGGAGUUCGAUGCCUAAAGACCUUUUAAAAAUCUGGCCCUAUAUCCCAUUUGCCUUACUCACAUGAGUAGUUUCAUUGACUUCUGAGAGACUCCUUGCAUUAGUAAGUGAGCUCGAUUUAAUCUUAAAGAGAACACCAAUAACUUAUGGAAAAACAACAUAUUACAUUAAUUAGUGAUGAAAUAAAAAGGAUUUUAGAAAAAAAUAUUCUGAAGACCUACAGAACAUACUAGAGAAUGAUAUUGUUUCUGUAGCUUUUUUUAAAUAUCGGGUAACACUUUAUAUGAAGGCUCCAUAUAUAAAUGGUUAAUAAGUGAAUAAUAUAAGUUAUAAGCACAUUAGAGACAUAAGUAGUUUGUGGUGUUGAUAGCUAUAAGCCAUGGUUAUAAGCAACUUAAUAAGGUCUCUAACAAGUUAGCCAUUUAAUAAGACUUAUAUUAAUAAUUUUUAACCUUUAUAAACUAUUCAUAAAUGGAACCUUAAUUUAAAGUGUGACCAAAGAGCCUAUAGAAUUUGAUAGCAGGAAUAUAAUUUUCUGUUCAAUUCCUUGGGGUGUUUCCAAACAUCCAUGAAAAGGUCUAUUUUCUUUUACAUUCUACAAGGAUUUUUAUCUACCAAAUUCCGUCACAGUAAUACAAAUACAGAUCUCCUCCCUAGUGAAGGUCAAUUAUUUUAAUACCUCUGUACCAAACUCUGUAGUUGUUGCAAAGGCAAAACUCCCUGUAGGUUGAAUGAAUGCUCUUUGGAUCAGGCUCAUUAAGAGCCAAGUAUUAUAAUUUAUUAGGACUGAGCCAGGGCUGCUGGAUUUGGCCCAGUGGUGGUUAGAAGUACCUUUUAGCGGAAUUUAGUUUAUACCAUUAAUACCACUGAGUAUCAGGUUUUUUUCCAAUUAGAGAAGGUGAAAGUGGUCAUCUAAUACAUAUAUCACCUGUUACUUCUGUGGUGUCACAAAUCUUAUAUCUCGUACAUAAGCAAGUAUAGGGAAAGCAGACCACAUCUGGAACAUCCUGAGUCAAUUGUAAUUGCACAACUUGGUGUGAGGCAGUGCAUCAGUGCAACAGCACCCCCUCUGGCCAAGUGUGGCACAGCUCUGGGCUCAUAUAGCCCAGCAGGACUGUCAGUCUGUGCCUGGUGCCCAGGAGUCUGAAAAGCUUUUCUUUACUUCCCAGUCCAUCAGGGGUUUGAUAGGGGAACCCAGGCCCACCCACUCCACUGGGUCCCAGCUCAGGGCCUUAGAGCUAGAUAAGUAGAAUCAGGGUUCUUCAACUCUGACAGUGCCCUGAGCUUCUUCCCACCUUCCCCUGGGUCUCUACAGGCUCUCCAGCCUGUCAGUCAGUCGUCUUUGGGAAGCUUUUUACUAGUGUGCUGGCUGGAGCUCCUUUCUCCAGCCUGCUCACUACUCUUCUAACCACAUCACCCCACUGUUUCCCAGCCCUUUUAUCUGGCCAGCUGUUGUGAGGCUUCCAGUCAGCAGUGGCUGGGAGUGCCUGUAUUAACCCUUUAGUUGCUGGGCCAGUGUAGGGUAUGUAUACCCCAAGACACUUGGUUAUUAGUGAAAUUAACUUUUAGUGACUUAUUAUUCUGCUCUUGCAGCAUGCAUCACCAAAAAGUGAUGAUCUCUCUAUUUGUGAGAGAGAUAAAUCUGCCAUUCGAACAGUGCUUUCACUUUCUUUGUUCAAAGGACAAGCAGAUGUAAGGUAACACUCUGCUAGCUAAUGAUUAAGAUUUAUAAAGGUUAGCAAUGUAUAUUCCAAAGCGGUAGGUGCAUUUUCUGUUUAGAGGCAGAUAAAUAAUGACAUCUGAAAUAAAAAAAAUUGUAAUAAUUGCUUCACUGAAAUCAGCAGUCAUCAGAACAAAAUUAACAUGCAGAGCAUAUGUCUGAUUCCUGAAAGGAUCUGAAUGUGAUGGUGUAAAUAGUUCUUGCACUAUACAAAUAGAAGAACUUAAAACAAUUGAGUAAGGAAAUGUAAAAUGAAUCAUUUGCAAAAAAGGGAGACAUUAACUAUUAUGCUCAAAUAUUGCAAUUUGCUCUAUCAUAAUGAAAACAUUUUUUUUAAAAUGAAAAUUCAACUAAUUUAGCUUUGAUACUCUAUCCAUGAGUAAUAAUUAUGCAUCAUUUCUACAGAAAUGUUCCUCUCAUAAGCAAUCUGAAGAUGAGAAACUGUAUUAAUAAUUUUUCACUUUUUGUAAUGGUUCUAAUCAUCAUUAAAGACCUUAAUUAUUAUUCAGUUAUUCAGUUUUAGAAAAGCCUGCCAGUUAUGCCAAAUUACAUAUGGAUAUACGGGCUUGGGUGGAUGUCUCAUUGCCCGGGACUUACAAUGAUAAUAGAAUAUUUAUUCAUGCAAUAUGAGAAUUUAAAGCAACUGAAGACCCAUUGCUGUCAUUGACUGAACCACUUUGUUAUAUUUAAUAGUACGGGUAAAACGUUCUUUCUUCUCUUAUCAAUACAAUUUCCAUCUAUGAUAUACUUGCAUUUCCAGUGAAGAUGUUCCUAUGGACAAUAUUUGUCUAUCAUGAGCCUUAUAUAGUAGUGAUAUCCCAUGCUGUGCCUGCAAACAGAGGCACUUAUUUCUGAGACCCUCAAAAUCCAUGCUUUAAGUGGUAUAAGAGAAUUAUGCCUUGAUUCACAGUUUUCCCAAUUAUUUUGUUUAAUGCCCAAGUGAUCUGUGAUAAGCUUCAUCAUACACACUAAAUCAGUGGGCUUAUCUCUUGAAUGUCUGUGACCAGCUUCCAACCAGCACGAUAGCUGAAAUUCCUCUGACAUUAAUUUCCAGUUUCCCAUUCACCAGCAUAUGUCAUCUUGGAACACCAGGGAGAUGAUUUAAAUGGCUAUCAGCAUCACUCCUGAGCACAAUGAUUUUCUCUUACAUUUCCUGCCCAGUUAAGGAUGUGCUUUCUUUAUUAGCUUAAUAAAUAGACAGUUAAGGAUCUUCGUUUUCUAUGCUUGUUUCUAUGCUUCAUUUUCUAUGGUCAUAUUUUACUAUUUAUUCAUUCUAUUUAUAGUUUUUUUGCAUUAAUAUUUGAUGCAUUUUGCACAUAAAUGGCAAUGCUUAACAUAUUUCAUAUCACUGUUAAUGUGUUCAAUUUGCAUAUGUUAUCCCAGGCUGUUAACCUAGUAGGGAUGAAGUUUUAAAAAAAUCUCAUGGUAUAAGAGUGACAGAAUAAAGUGUGCUAAAAUCAUGUCUACGCUUCAGGGACUAUUGUGGGAUAACUUCUGUUCUUCUGUUCACCUAACUCUGUCUACACUGGGGGCUAGGUCAGCAUAUGGCACUCAGGAGUGUGUAUUUUUAGCAUCCUUGAGUGCUGUAACUAUGUUGACCUAAAUUUUAAGUGUAGGUCAGGCCUUAGUCAACAAAAGUAAAAUCUUACCAAAAAACAUUCAAAGAAUAGAGGAGCCAUCUUGAAUGUAUACAGUGUAUUCUGUGACGACCUCUGCUAUCAAUGUACAAAGGGGCCCAAAUUAAGCUGAAAAAAUGAAGAAAUUGAAAGAUGAGACUGAUCUUUUCAGUUCUAAUAGGCAACUCAAUAUCAUUGCAACGGAAACAAAAUCCUCUAUUGAUACAAUGAGUUUUUCAUUACAUAAGCAUCAGGUAAGUAAUUACAAUUAUUUAUGUUACUUAAGACAUAUUAGGCUCUUGGCUUUGGUCCCCAAGAUGGCUGCCACACACCAGUGUAAAGGGAGUACAAGCUAGUACUUUGCUACAGAGAUGGAUCAGGUGUGUUUAAUUGAUCCUGGGGACUUGUGAAGUAAGUGAAGGUGGCUUUUUGCUGGUAUGCACAACUUUGAGCAGCACAGAGCAAAAAUGGGUGAGCCCCCCUGCCAAGGAGGCAUGGCUAGAAAGAGCAUAAUCUAUAGUUAUACACAUCCGAAUAAAUGCAAAAUGACUGGAACUGAGCAACCAAUCUAGACAAGUAGCACUCCCCUGCUUUUGGAUAUAGCCCUAGUGUUACACUAGGCAUUUGUUAUCCAACUGGGAAAGGUGCACCUGGGUGACAUAGUGGAAUCUAUAUAUUCUACAAAUGCCAGAGGUUCACCUGACACAAGACAAUGCUAGUGCAAUCAUUAGAAUAUUGUACUAUUUACUCCCCCUACAGAAUUCUAUCAGAUGGAUUAAACUUUACAGAGGUGAAUCACUCCUCUUAAAUAUUGUAGGAUUUUAAAAUGAAGCCCCCCUUCACUAUUGAAAUGGUUUGCAAACAUUUUUGCAUUGUGGUCCUUGUUUAAGGUAUUGGGCCGGAUUCUGAUCUCUCACUGGUUUUAGACUGUUGUAACCUCAUUGACUUCAUUGGAGAUAUUCCUGAAUUACACCACUUUGGUGAUCUCAAAGUUGUUCCCAGAGAUUCUACGUCCUCCCCUCCCCGCAAUGAUUCUACACUUUCCUUCUGGCAACUCUAGUUUUAAAGAGAAAUAUUAGGACAGCAAGGUGUGUGAUUGGAGUAGGCAUAUUAAUUUUUUGCAAUUUAUAAUACAUGAAGACAGUGCUUAUAUGCUACCCUGUGGGUCCUUGAUAAUGUUUAAAGCAACUAAGUCCAAACAAGCAGCAACCCCUAGAAAAUCUCCAGGACGAUACUCCCAACACAAGGUGUGAACGAUAGGCAGGACUUUCAUCACCAAACCAACAUCCCAUCAUGUGAACAGUCAUCCUUCUCUCCAUUAAGCCCCAAUCAGAUCAGCCAGCCAGGCAAAAAAAGAUAGCAUACCUCAUAGGGCAACAAUUCCAAAUGGGUUUGUAGCAAAGGCAGAAGCUUAUUCUACAGAUGAGAGCCCCAUGUAGAGAAUGCUCUCCUGCCAAAUCCCAGUUCAUUGAGUGGGAUCCAACUCAGGUGCUUCGUUGGUCAUAGAUGUGGCAGUAUUGCACAAGGAGACAGGUAGUCUUUCAUGUACACAGGUCCUAAGCCAUUUAGAGCUUUAUUGGUCAAAAUCUGUAAACUCCACUUGGAAGCACAAAGCCAGCCAUGCGCAGCUCCCAGAGCACUGAUGCCAUAUGCUUGCAGAAGCUGGACCGCUGGCGGGCUUUAAAGUAUAGCCUUAAACCUCUAAUUAAUGAACAAAUAAAAUUUGAAAUUGUUUCUCAAGAAAGAAUAAAUAAAUAUUUAUAAAUUUAAAUAAAAUAUAUUUUAUUUUAUUUAAAUAUAAAUAAAAAUAAGUGUGAAUGUAAUGUUAAUGCCCUCUGGUUUCCUAACAGGCUUUCCUGCUUCUCCUUUACUGUGUACUUAGCCUGCUUGAUUGCUGCAUGACUCUAUUUGUAGAUGGUUUAAGUUGGAUACAUAGUCUGUCUACACACAUGGAGUCUCAACUCAGACUUGCAUGCUGUCCUGGUAAGAAAAUGUAUUAGAAAAUGAGUACAUGUUCCUGGGGUUUUCUCAAGUUUCAGUUGUUGUCAGAGGCAUAGGCAGCAUGGAAAAGAGGUUAGGAUUGGCUGGGCUAUAUUGCAGUGAGGCUGUCACAAGUGGAUGGACAUGACUGGGAGUCCCUGGGGAAAUAGUUGUAAUAUGAUGUGCAGGGAGUUACCUGCAUGACUCUAUUAGUGAAUGCUUGGUUAAGAUGCACCUUGCUGGAAAUUAAAGCUCUAUGGUAUCAUUUAGCCACCCUUAGAAGAAAAAGACCCAAAACUAUAAACCUUUUGGAAUUAAAAGUGAUUAAUUCAGAGACCACUUGGGAAAAAAUUUGAAUCUCUGCAUAUUUCAUAUACGCUAUGUGUAGAGAUGAGUCUGAAUUAAAAUCCCAUAUCUGAAGGUAUCUGGCUUUUGAUGAAGUGUGGAUCUGAACCGAGUUAUAUAAGGCAUUACUGGCCUUUAUGUCUGCAGUAGAAUGAACCAAAGUCUGCUCAGCACUGGGGAAGUUCAGGUCUCUAACAUCCCCCCUAGCUUACUGUCUGUGAAUUUGGAACAACCAGAUAAACAUGCUGCUCCCAAGAGAAUGUACGCUGGCUUUUAUGCUGAGCCCAGUGCAUUUAUCUUCCUCGGUUUGGUGGGAAGCACUGGCAGCCACUCUAUUUUUGUUAUUCACCCAACUCCAACCUACAGUUUGUCUCAAGGAGGAAAAGACUUUUUGUGAUCGACACAGAUUCAGCAGAGUUGGAUUUUCAGGUUUUCACCCAUGUUCUUGUUGUAGGCCACUUCCCCCACCUCAUCUCUGCCUCCUUACUGAAGUCAUGUCUACCAGGGAGAACUAAGGCAAUUUGGCCUUUCCUGAGGCUCCCAUGUAGAGGUAAAUAACCUUACCAGGUCACCAGUCCCUUGAACUGCACUUCACCACUUGUUGGCACUGUCCAAUGUUCAUCCUAUACAAUGUUGUCAGUUCUCGGCAGAAAUCACCUGGCCUCUUUGAGAGACCAAACCAUUAGCACUUUUAGGCACUUGCAAAAUCUGAGCAGGAAAGAACACAACUAUUUUUUCAUGAUUCAGAAAUUAUUUUCAUACCUGCUGAGUGUCUUGGAAAUAUGCAGUUGGAAAUAAUCACUAAAGAUGUUAAAGGUAAAAUGAGCCCCACUUCAGUUGUUCUAAUUCUUAAUCCUCAGGAAAUGUACAAAAGAGACAUUGGGUGACAUCCUGGUCCCAGUGGAGUCAAUGGCAAAAUUCCCAUUGACUUUGGGGAUCCAGGAUUUUAUCCUUUUUCUCUACUAACUCUAAUAAUUGAAAAUCAGGAAGAUGCGGUAGCAGAUAUUGGUUAGUAUUUUAGUUUUAAAGUAUUACAGAUAAGCAUACUAGAUUGAGCAUGCCCACUUAUUUUGAGUUGUAUAUGUGCCUGAUACUUGUGGUCUGAUACACUACAAUGAGCCUAAACAGAACAGUAGAGGUCUGAAAACAUUGUUGCUAACGUUUGCAAGCUGUAACACUUACAAAUAUUAAAAUGAGCAAAACCAUAUAUUUUUAUGCUUUCUAUUCCAGGCCCCUAGAAGUGAAUCCAUUAAAUAAUUGCUGAAGUGAGUUGCUGAGCACAGUAAUUAAUUGCUAGUGUAUUCAUUUACUGUGGGAGGAGCAGAGGAAGGAAAAUAUUUCACUGAAUUUAGAAUUGUAUUUAUUUAUGUAUGCGUUGUGGUGUUACAGCAGAAUUAUCUGACACACUGGAAACAGGCUUUCUCUCUCCCUCUCCUAGAAACUUGGACUGUGUGAUGUUACUAUGUGACCUGAGGCAUAAUGCACAGAACCUUCACUCUUGGGAAUGCAUUCCGAGUUAAAGCUGGCAUUCACAUUUGAGAUGCUAAUGAUCAAAAUCCUGCCAUAGAAAUAGGAAACAUAACUUGGUAUCAUUCAUGUUUAGUCAGGGGGUCCAUCAUUGUCAAUUCAGAUCUCAGAGGCAGUUUGGAGGUGGACUGGAGUCCCUAGAUCAGGGGCCAGUAGAGAAUGGGUCUAUCUCUUCAUCUGUCUCCUGGAGGAGAUGUGGGAGCAGGCCAGCCUGUCUUGUUUUCCAGUUUCCAGUGCAGCAUUGGCACCAGUCCACAGGCAGCCGCUCAUCCAGCAUUCCUGGCUCGAGGAUCAUUUCAUCAGCUAUAGUGUGUCAGCCAAGAGGAAUCAAGAGGGAAAAGGAAAGUGGAGUUAUGAAGUGAAAACCAAGAAAAUAAAAAUUCCAGGCAGCUGUUGCAAAGUGAAGGCUGGUGGUGGCGAUACACUAGUUUAUUCACUGAGUCUGCUGCAUAGUUGCUAACAAAGUCUUACUGAUGCAAUUUUGAUAUUUUUUUUUCUGAACAACGUAGUACUACAGGUCUUUUAUUGUUUGCAUAGUUUGUGAUAUCUGAUGUGUUUCAAGUUGAUCUAGCUGUGUGUAUAACUGUUUAUUCUUUCAGCAGUUUCAAAAAGAUAGAUCAGGGCUGGAUGGAGUCUUUAGGUGCAGCCCUAAGCAAGGGGUGGUAGGUAAACGGCAUCAACCCAGGAGUAUGCCCAGAAGACAUCGUGCCUCAGAGGAAUGAUAUCCUCCCUGCUUCUCAUGGUCUCUGACAUUCACCAGUAGGAAAUUACAACAUGGUCCAGGGGACUCAGCUGUGGCAGCUGGCAUGUUGAAGGGGUGGAGCCCAGGCUCCUCCCUUCAUUCUACACCCACAUUCUUCGGCUGGGGAGGAGGAAAUAGUAUGUCUGACCCUCAGGACCAGGUAGACCAUGCAGCAGUCUGAGCAGGAGGUUCCUACUUUCCUGUGCGGGUGUGUAGUCCGUCCAAAUCACAACCUAACCCUAAAUAAACAAGAGCCUGAUUCUGUCCCCCUUGUAAAAUAAGCAUACCUUGCUCUAUGGGUAGCUGCAUUGAUUCCAGUGGGACCAGUUGCAGAAUAACAAUUACCCUGUGUGGGCAAAGGGUGGCAGAAUCAGACACUAAAUGAUUAUUUCUAAAGGCUUAAAAAUAAUCCAGCAGGUUCCUCUGUUUGUCAAACCAACAGCCUAAACAAAGUUGGUUAGAUUCUUUUUCCUCCCCAUCUGAGGGAGGAAACAAAUAAAAGCAAUCACAAAAUUAUAUUACUCUAUAUUAACAUGACUGCUUCUAAUUUGUGAGAAUAAAUGAACCUCAUUCAGUGCUUUAUUAUUCUCAGAAAUUCUAAAAUCAAUGCAAGAUAUGCCAUAAACAUCACUCUUGGCAGACAGUCAUUGAGGUAAACAUAUAACUCAAAGAUAGCUUGAACAGAAUUCUCACCAAUUUACCAAAUAAUAAUCCAGUCAGAGUCUGUGAUAAGAACAUUAAAAAGAAGAGACACUAACAGAGGUAGGAAUAGAUGGCAUCCAUGAUAAUGUUGAAAUAAUAAUAUCAUAAUUUAAAUUAAUUAGUGAUGGCUUUCAUUCUGAAGAAUCCCACAAUGUUUUACAAACUAUACAUAAGGAUCCUUUUAUCCAUUAACUGAAAUGCAGCCCCUCUGAUGUGAAAUAAACAGUUUGAGACAGGAAGUGAAAGAGAAUUAUAAUCCCUUGACUCUGCAAUAGGAAUUUAGGUAGAUGGAAUCUGUCUGUCUUUGCCUGUGGCCCAUCCUACGGCACCAUUAUAGAUUAUUAUUGUCUGAAACCUCCAUUAGUGAUGUCACCUUCUUUACCAGGGUUGUUUGUGCUUGUUUGUUAAUAGCUAGAAAUUAUCAGGGUCUUGGUUUUAAAUCCCAUGCAGAAGAUGGCACUCCCAGAAAGAGCACUUCCUAAGAUCAUGUAUGGACAUUAGUUCACUACUUCCUUCUAGAAUCUGGGAAGAAUACUAACUCCUGAAUCUCUACACUAUUCUCUGCGGGACAUAGGUGCUCCCUCAAACUACUUUUCCAGCCCAAUCUUGUUUGAGGCCAAAUUCUGCUCUUGGGUAAACUGGUGCAAUCCUAUUCGCUUUCGUGGGGUUUUCCCAGGGUAAGUGAAAAUGGAAUUUGCUCCAUAACUUUUGAAAUCUGAUGGGAUCAUAAGACAAAGAGUAGUGGUUAAUGGUCAUAAUGGAAUUGUCCCAGAGAAUGAUAGGGAAAUGUAUAUAAAGAAAUGGAAAAUAUUUGAAGCAGUUCCAAUCUCGUGCCUUCUCUAUAGCACUUUCAAUGGGAAAAAGAUAUUGUGUGUUCAUUUCAAUAUUUGAAUGAGUAGACUUAGUUGUAUUAGUGCUCUUUGUAUUAACCUGCUGAGAACAUUCAUGCAAUCAGCAUUUCUUAGCACUAUUCCAAGCAAAUAACAGAAAAACAAUAUCAUGUUAUGUCUGUGGCCAGUCACCACUAAGGGCAUAGCUCACAGGAUGAAGUUCAAAUAGAAAGUUAGACAGUCAUGAAAAAAAUAUUGGUGAAUAAUGAGUGAACUUGAGACAAUUGGGAUCAGAUAUCCAUAAAACCAAAAAUGAGGCAAAAUAAAAUAAAUAAAUGAAUCUUUAGUAUUUGUUCACUCGGCUCUACAGGAAUGAUACACAAUGUUUUCCAUACCAGGACCUCCUUUUCUAUAGUGGGAACCAGGACUCUUCUCUUGUCUAGCCAGGACCCCCCUCCUAUUUAUUAAUAUGGUAAGAUCAAGUCGUAAAUCCUCUGACACCUAUUCAAGACUCUCCUGGGGGUCAUGCCCAUCCAUCUGAGAACAGUGCUCUGCAGUGUUCGUUGGUCUCCUUCUGUUCUCACUGCAAAUGAGGCAUCUCUCUAUGAAAAUAAUAAGCCUUUUCUGCAAUUAACUGGUGAAGCUCCAUUGACUUAAAGGAACUGUGCUAACUUACACCAGCUGAGGAUCUGGCUGUAGAUUUUUUGGAAAAGGGAUAAGAUGUAGAUAUAUUUCAUUCAGAGGAUUUUAUUGAAUGUCAUUCUUAAUAGUUCUAAAGUACCCUUUUCAUAAAUCUGGCUUGUCAGCAUGGAAAUCAUUCUGAGUGGAACUGACUGUGUGUGUGUGUAAAGUAAUGAUAGCUAGUUCUGGGAGGUACAGCAAAACCCACAUCUGGCUUUUGCUAUUUACUGUUGUCAGGGCUAGAGCUUGAAAUGCAUUCAUUUUGCAUUUUAUUACAGAUUAUAGAAUAUCAGGGUUGGAAGGGACCUCAGGUCAUCUAGUCCAACCUCCUGCUCAAAGCAGGACCAAUCCCCAAUUUUUGCCCCAGAUCCCUAAAUGGCCCCCUCAAGGAUGGAACUCACAACCCUGGGUUUAGCAGGCCAAUGCUCAAACCAUUGAGCUAUCCCUAUAAUUAAACACAGAAAGGAGCAAGGAUCUCUCACUACAGCAUGCAGAACACGCUGUUGCCGUUUCUACUGAGAUGCACUCGGAAAGCCAAAGGAAUGAACAUUGCCGGGUACUCAGCUAUAUUUGUUAAAACAUGCUGGGUGACAUCCUGGCUCCACUGGAGUCAAUGGCAAACUCUCAUUGACUUCAGUCAGGCCAGGAUUUCACCCACUAUUUUUUUCGAUCAAGCCGCAGGCAUUAUUUUGGGGGAGAAGUAUUUGUUCCUUGCAAAUAUUAGCACAUGGCAUAGACUGAGGAUGCUCAGCACAUGUAUGUUGAGGCAUAAAAACAGAAAUCUGCUUUUUGGUUAGCAUUGUUAACACGCUGAUGAGUGUGUUACUGGUCUGCCUGGAUGCCUGAUCUGCAGAAGAUGAGUCUGUUUCAUGCCUGUCUAAAGGGGCUUGGUUCUUUCGCUCUAGCUGUAGCAAUCUGUGCUUUUCCCUGGUUCAAUCUCUGGUGUGUUAGCGAAGAUGAUGACCAUUACAUGUACUUACUUCAUGUCAGUGGGGCUGACAUAUUCAUAAUAUGGAUACACACCCCAUGCAAGAUUGGGCUCUUUGACAUGAAAUAUCCCUCAUUAUCAAGCAGAUUUUUAUACUCAUAUGUCUAGACUGUUUCAGGCUUUUAAAUGACUAAUUUGGAUGUAAUAAUAUUUAAAGCCAGAGUGCUGUAUUGCUAAGGAUUUUUGCUAUUGUUAAGCUAGAGUCUUUUGCUUCUAGUUCAACAGUUCAAAUCUCUCCAGAGUCACAAAUGACUGGAAGUUGUUACCAGCUGGCAACAAUGGUCUAUAUGUAAUGAAUAUGGUGAUCUUGGUCUAGUUUCUGGUGGACAGAUGUCCACGUCAUAAAAAUGCAUUGCAAUUAUUAUCGUGUAUUAUUUGUUUUACCGUAGCACUUGGGAGCCCUAGUCAUGGACCAGGACCCCAUUGUGCUAGGCACUGAACAAACACAGGGCACCAAGAUGUCAUAAUUAGCACCCUUACUGGUAUUCUCUAUAGAAAAGCCAAGGACUGAAUAGACCCAGAGACUCAGAGCCACUUGCCCUUUCAAGCUGGCUCCUCUAGCUUGGGUUGAGGCACAGUGAAGAGGCAGUGUGUGGUAGCGUGCAUUGCCAUUGUCUAUGCUGUAUCUGCUCUGUAAAUAGAGGACUCCAAUGUCCAGGCUUGUCAGUCCAGUACUAUUAACAUGAAAAGAUAAACACAAUAAAAAAUUCAAAAGCAGUUUAACCCAACUUAUAAGAAGCAGGUCAUUCGGUAGCCUGUUCUGAUUGUUGUAUUGGUGAUAUUUUGUCCACAGGCUUAUCUUAGCCAUGCAGACUUACAGUUUGUAGGGCGGAGGUUUGCAGGCCUAUAUACAUGAAGACACAAGUUCCUGGCUGUUUUAAAACCUCAGGACUGGCCAAAUGAAGAAAAAGGACUGAACAUUAAAUAUAAACUGCCCCUAACUUUUCCACCUCCCCUAAAUCUCCUCUAGGGGAAUAAUUCUUACUCCUCUAGAGUGAUAUUUUCUCUUACCCUCUGUGGUGAGACCACAGUGAGCUGGCUGACCACAUUAACUGCUGCAGAUCAUUCUGUUUGCUGGUGAUUAAGAACAUCCAAGGUAUCUUUUUUUCGUGCUUACCACACAACUGAAAAAGCACAAGGUUGAGGUAUUUUCUGAGCGCUGCAUUAUGCCUUGCCCGGCAUAGUGCAGAAGGUGUGGGAGAUGGGGAAAGGAGCUGUUGGACACAAUCUGAUCCUCAUGCCCCUCAACAGCUCAGAAAACCUAGGACUGGCAAACACCUAGGUUUGGAGGGGGGCAAGGCCGUAAACCAUUUCCCCACUCUGUGCCAGUCAGCUGAACAGCUGCCUCCGUGGUAUAAUUUUGUCUCCCUCUGCAAAGUGCAUUGAUAGCAGGAAAAAUGUUCUAUAAAAGUGCAAUAUUUAUUAUUUCUCUAAAGUGAAUUGGCUGCAUUUAACUUAAAACAACAAGACUAGAGAACGGGGGAAAAAUACCCAAAGAUAAAAUAAACCAGAAAAAUAUGUAGUCCAGAAUAAACACAAACAUUCCCUGAUGUGGUACGGUCACUCCUUGUGCCUUGCUUCUCCACAGGUGGCUCAUGCACAUCCAGUAACUUUGUUUAUAUUUUGUGUAUUAGCAGAUGGUUCUUUGAUAUAGAAGAAAAAGUGUUCCCACAUCAGAUUUAGUCGUUGCCGUCUUUUUCUGAGCUACUAAACAAACCAAAGGAGGAAAUGCGUAGCCACAAUCACUAUAAGCAAAGGGCUGGGGUAAACAAAGAAAAAGUCUUUGAGUUAACUUAUGGUCUGAUUUACAGUAAGUGGAGGGGAGCAGUAUAUUUAAAUGUAAGGGAUCCAUAGACUUUAACUGGAUAGGAUGUAGUUUCGUUAUGAAUAUUUCUGAACUAAUGUUGAAGAGACUAGGGUUCAACACACGCCUCUGUCAAAGACUUCCUGUAUGAGCUUGGGCAAGUCACUCAGUCUCUCUGUAUGUCAGUGCCUGCUCUCUGAAAUGCUGAGAAUAGUAUUUCCUUCCUCCACCCAUUGUCUGUCUUGUUUAUUAAGACUGUAAGCUCUUUAGGGGGGUGACGAUCUCUUGUUAUGUGUUUGUACAGUGCCUAGCUGUUCAAAUGGACCCUGACUUUGAUUAGAGCCCCUUGGGGAUAAUGUAAUACAAAUAAACUUGAUCUGAGUGAAUAAUUUGCAACAAAUAAUUUAUUGGAAUAAAUUAACCUCUUGUAUUCUGUUCGGCAAAUGCUCCAUCUGUGAGCACACUUGAUUUCCUUCUAUUUGUCAUUUGAAAGUAUUGAUGAAGUUUUGGAGAUUGAUUGUUUUUUAAAUCUGUGUUGAUCUCGAACAGUUCUCUGCAAAUAUUUGAGAUUCAAAUAUUCUAUUUGAGUUGUUUUAGUUGUGGUAGAUCAGAUAAAUCACAUUCUUUUGGGAGUGUUUGUUGAUUGGAUUAAUGCGCAAACACUUCUGGCAUCAAUACUUGUGCGGAAAAAUCUAAAAUUCAGUUUCUGUGAAUUCUUGCACAUGCGACUAUGAAACUCACUUUGUGUGAAUCUUCAUGCCGGCAAAACUUGAUCUUGUGAAUGCUCUUUGAAAGGGAGGGGUUAAGCAAAUGAAUACAUAUAAAACUAAAGAAGCAAAUGUUUGUGGAAAAUUUUUGAAACAUUUCCCCCAGCUCUAUUUGCAGCUUCUUUUUUUCUGUGCAGUAAGCAGAGCUCCACUGACAUGGUUGUAGGCUGUGCAGAACCCAAGAACAAGUCAAAUGGCUGAGCCAGCUAGAUUUGUUCUAGAAAGUCACAAUGGAGAAUACGUGAUAGUCUGUUAUAAUUGCUCAUUUUAAAAAAAAGGCUCAAAUUGCAACAUAUUUAGUUAACUGUCUCUACUUCCAUUUGAUACAAUUAAUGUUUUUGUGAUUUUCAAAGGAAUUGGUUUCGCACAUUUCUUUUAGAAAGGGAGAAAUGAGAGGAGAGAGAAAUGCUACUCACAGAACAGCUUGUCACAGGCUGACCUACUUUUUUGACCAAUCUCUCUGAAGCCUGAGCUGCUCUUGUGUUGACAGUGUGUGUCUGAGCUAAAGCAAAAUUCACAGAAUCAGUGGCCUUAGAGAUUGACUUCAGAGUAGACAAAGGGCCUGAUGGCUUUUGUGGGUGUGCAAAGACUGCAGGAUUGGGAAAAAAUCAAAUGGAUGCAAUACAAGUAUGAAGCAUCUGUAAAUGAGCCAACAGCCCAAUUCUGACCCCACUUUUACAGAAGUGUGAUGCUUUUACAUCUGGGGAGAGCAGAAUCGGGCACCUUGUGUUUUCAUUAUGGCCAUGGAGUUGUGUGACUGUGUAUCAGCUGGAGUAUUGCUUCCAGCAUUAGUAGAACAAAUUGACCUUUCUAGCUGUUUACAUGAGUAGACUUUCCCUUAAGAAGUUAAUUUUAAAAUCUUGCAUCAAGGCAAAACAGUUUGGAGUUAGGCCUCUUUUUUUGAGUCUUCAAGUGAGUACAGUGCCCGUCACACAGGAUUAGAUCAACUGGAGGAAGGGAUAGCUCAGUGGUUUGAGCGUUGGCCUGCUAAACUCAGGGUUGUGAGUUCAAUCCUUGAGGGGGCCAUUUAGGGAUCUGGGGCAAAAAUUGGGGAUUGGUCCUGCUUUGAGCAGGGGGUUGGACUAGAUGACCUCCUGAGGUCCCUUCCAAUCCUGAUAUUCUAUGAUUCUACUGCAUAAUGGCUGUGUCUGCAAAACCAAUAUAAGACUGCUGCACUUUUUCCUGGUCAUAGACGUUUUAGUAGAAGAGCUUGUUCUAUUAGGAACCAGAUGUAAUGCUGACUUCCCAAAUCCUGUAAUUACAGUGUAUGGCUCAUUGAAAGCUUCAUAGUGAAACCUGAGGCCAUGUCAACCUUGGAGAAGAAUGGAACCAAUUUGGCAAUACCUUGGACCCACAUCUCUGCACUCCAAACAAGACCAAGGAUCCCUCCCACGUAUAUUCGUGUUUUCCUUCCACGAAGAGUCUAGCAGUGAAAUUUUGUGGCAGAAAUGUUUGUGGAAAUAUAGAUUUUUAAAACAACACUGAAGAAUAUUUGCAGAAAACAAAUUUUGAUUUUGCAAAUGUUGAGUGUUUUAAGACUUACUUUCAUCUAGUAAGAGAAAUGAAUAGACCAUGUUAUCAAUGUGUCCGGUCCAUACUCAACUUUAAUUUUGAAUAUUGACUGCUUGCAACCAACUGCUCACCAGUGAUCUACAGCGCAAGAAGCAUUUGCAAAUUCUCUCUCAAAAAUGAAUACAUUCAAGAAAACCAUGAUUUUUUUCAUUGAUCCUACAAUGGGACCACAUCUACUUCUACCCACCCGUGUGGGUGAAAGCUGCUCCCUUUUAUUCUUAUUUACAUUACAGUCACCUCUAUGCACUGUGAUGCACACCCCCUUGUGCUAGGCACUGUACAAACACAGUGAGAGAAAGACCCUACCCAUGACAGUCUUAAUAGAUGAGACAGACAAGGAUGGGAGAGGAAAGAGAAGCACAGAGGUGAAGCAACUUGCCUAAGAAUUUCAGACUGCAGUUCAGUUUAGCAGUCCAAUUUGCCUGCUCAGCAAGGGGAGAUGCAGACUUUCUGUGUCCCACUAUACCAUGGAAGUAGGGGCAGAGAGAGUCUGGCUCUUAAUGUGCAGAUCCCUCUGAGAGUGACGUCAUCUUCACCUGACAUGGAAUUUCAAGCCCAGGGUGUGGAGAGCCAGAGUGGCCUCCCUCCAGGUUGGAGAGUGAGGGAUCACUACACCUGGGUGCUGAAUCGACGCUCUGCAUCACCCUGUCAAUGGAGGAGAUGGACCCAGAAGGGGAGUUGCCGGGACUACCAUCUGCUGUGUACCCUGAGGACCUGUGGAUUCCAGAGAUACCAAACCCCAGGGAAGUAAGAAGUAGCCCAGGGCAGCCGAUGACUGUCUGGCUGUGUGGCUGACUGCUUCUAGGUUUCCAAUUUUGGACAGAACUCCAAGAUCUGUGGCAGUGCUGCAAAAUGUACUGGAAGAAAUGGCUCAAUGUAUUCAGUACAUGCUGGAUCUGAAGGUGGACACAUCUGAGUGUUUUAUCAAGAGUUUUGAUUUUACUUAGAGGCACUAUUUAGAAUGGCCAGUAAACACAAAUUAACAACAGUUUUGCAUUAAUUUAAGGUGGAAGGGCCCUUCUCUCCAUCUGGACCUUUCUUCAGCAUUAGCUUUAAAAUAUUUAACUAAAGCUGUUGUGAUUCAUUUGUUCAUUAGAAACUGAAGGGUACUUAAGAUAGCAUAAGGUGGAAGUAAGUCUAAUUCCUUAGAAUGAUCAAAAUGCAGAAGUUACAGAUGCAGAACACAGUCCUCUUUACUCCAAUGGAACUGAGAUGAGUAACACUAUUUAAUCCUGUAUUCUUGAGUUUACAUGGGCACAGUUACAAGUACAUACACAAGUUACUAAUUUCCAUGAAAUGCGAUUCCUGUUUAAAAAAAAAAAAAAUCUGAACUUGUGAUGUAAAAGAGAAUUCUUUCGUUACAAGAAUUAGCCAGAAAAUCCAUUAACAAAAGUUUUUUAAACAUUUUGUUCUAUUGUUGCUCUUCUGAGUUUUUAUCUACACAUACAAUGUUUGUUUUGCUCAAGCAUAAGUUAAAGUACAGCUACAACUGAGAUAUUAGCUUGGAAAAGUUUCAGCAAUGACAAGUUACAUACAUUAAGUAAGAACUCAGUGGUAUGUUUGAAAUUAAAUAUCAAUAAAGGAUCAUUACUUUAAAAAGUA